AAAACUGUAGAAAAGGGUCUUUCCUUGAAAAUGUCCCCGAACAUCAAGUUGAUACAAUGAGUCGCACAUGGAGUCCAAUAGACAUUCUUGUACGCUCCUUCAAUCAUGCCACCCGCUUUCUUGUUUUUACUUGCAUUAUCAGUGACCACUUGAACAACUUUGCUUGGACCAAUAUUUUCGAUGGUGUUCUGAAACAAGGUGAACAUUUUGAUGUGGUCGGUG
rnacentral:lncRNA from 1 species